CUGGCGGUGGCGAAGGCAAACGAAUACUGGCGGUGGCGAAGGAAAACGAACACUGGCGGUGGCCAAGGAAAACGAACACUGACGGUGGCGAAGGAAAACGAACACUGACGGUGGCGAAGGAAAACGAACACUGGCGGCGGCGAAGGAAAACGAACACUAGCGACGGCGAAGGAAAACGAACACUAGCGGCGGCGAAGGAAAAUGAACACUAGCGGCGGCGAAGGAAAACGAACACUGGCGGUGCAACGAUGAUGGUGGACGCGAAAGGCAGAUCGAAGAGCAGAUCGUUCGGGUAAAGAAAAUGAGAAGGAAAGAGAAGGGAAUUUAUGAGAAAAAAAAAAA
rnacentral:lncRNA from 1 species